AGGAAAGUAUCUGUGAGUGUGGGUCGGGGGAGAGUGGAGACAGGGGAAAAACAGAAAUGGAAAGAGUGGAAACAGGGGGAAUUGCUGAGAGGUUGGUUGGAGUGAUGGUGGGAUUCUUCGGAAUUGGGGGUUAGAUAGAAAACAGGGAGCAGAGAGGAUUCUAGGCAGGGUGAUUAGGAGCAAGGGAGAGAAAGGGAAGUUGAUUUUGCUGUGGUUUUCUGGAGGUUUGAAAGAAGAAACAAACCAGCUUGAAGCCCAACUAUUCUCGUUGGAGGGAGCAUUUUCAGAGAGGGCUGUGUUUUGGCUUACUGCCACAGAUUCGUGACCCCCAGUGGAGAGAGUUAUUUGUAUCUUGCAAGAAACCUGUGAGAGGGGUGACAGAAGCAUAAUAACAGGAGCAAGUGGCUGUGGGAUGUGAAAUCAUCUCCUAUUGUGCAGAAGAUGACAACAGAGAGCCAUGGAAAAAUUCUUGGAGAAAGGCCUCCAGAAAGAGGCUCUAGAAAUGCAACCUCAUCUGUUGAUUCUACAAAUGUCAUUCAUCUUCAAUUCAAUCUUCCAGACACAUUGCAUCCUUUAAAGAGUUGCUAAAAGUUGUAUAGCCCUUCAAGAUUAUUUUCAUGGACAACAGAAAUGGCCAUGGGCCUUGACACUGAAGUUCCAUGGUGGUUUGGGGUCCAUGCAGAGCAUUUGUAUGUCCAAUAAUGCCAAUACCACCGUUGCCUUUGGUUCGGUGAGAAACGUCUUCAGAUGUGGAAUUGCGGUUUGAAAGCAGGACCAUUGAAAUAUCAUCCUGUAGCAUUUGAAUGCCAGCAUAGUUAGAUUGGAGGUGAUGGUUUAGUCAUCCUUAGUCUUCGGUUCAAGUAUAGCUUAUUUGUGGAGUUUGAAGGCUACAUCAGCAUCGGAGUAUAAAUCCAAUAAGGAGGGGGCAUGUCGAGCUCAUCUCAUGAUGAUCAUCAACCUGUAGUGAACCCCCCACAGCAUGAAGAGAGACUAUCAAAUAGUACUCAAAACUCCUACUAAUCAAACUUCACCUUCAUCAAACAGAUGAGGCUCUAGGAAUUCAUCAUUCAUGAGGUGGAGUCAUGGUCAAUCUCUGGUCAUGAAGAUGGAUCUCCACUGAUCUGGGAGUCACAAGUCGCUAUAAUUGAGAAGCUGAUCUCUACCCUUGGGAUUGAUAGAGUUGUUGCCGGUUAUGUUUCAAACACUCCAAAUUCAAGCGGGGAAGCAUCAAAAGAACUGGCUACCUCUCAUUUUUAUUCUUGAGCCUGGCAAAUUUAAGCAGUGCUAUUGAGAAUAUUGGGUCUGAGUAACAACUUUUCUGGUUGCUCCACACCUGCACCAACAGUCCCAAGUACUCAGAAUGGUGAAGAUGUCAACAGCAACAAAACUUUUCUGAAUGCAAAGCAGGGUUUCCUUUCCCUCCUCUGUAAACCUAAAGAUCCCUUUUCUGUUAAGCCUCUGGGAAGAUGCUUAGAAUAUGCGAGUGAAAGUGACAGCUUGUUGGUCAUGCCAAAUAAGGUUUAGAUACACCUCUUGAUCAGCCCUCUGAAGGAAAGCUUGUGGAAUUUAAUAUAUCUUUAGCUCCUAAGAGGUCAUCCUGUAUCCAAUGUUGGAGAUCUAUCAAUUCAAGCUAGUCAAAGUUUGGGUUUGUUGCUUAAUCAGCUUAGGUUUCCCACAAUGAAAAUCCACCAGUAAUUCAAUGAUCAUUAAGCUCAUCAACAGUCUUUCAGCAAUGGCAAGGAAAAUGGUCCUGCACUGUUGGAAAGUGCAAAAAGUUGAUGAAGUAAAGUGGCUUAAUUCAUCCUGAUGCUCAAUUCUGUGGUAGUUUGAAUAUGCUGCUAUGAAAGUGUUCCGUUUCAAUCAGGAGCAUCUUAGUACUCUGUCAUCAGACUCUUUUAAUCCAAGGCAUCAAUUUGCCUCUGACAUACAGGACAGCUAAGGAACCACCUUCUGAGACAAGGGCCCGGAAGAAGAGAAAAUUCAGGUCUGUUCAGGAUGUGGCAAGCCUACAGGAAGUCGAAUCUUUGACUAUUCAUUGAGCCUUCAGGUCUGGAGGUCAUAGGGCCUCAGUUCCUGAAAUGAAGGAUACAGUUCAUGCUGCUCAUGAACAUGCAACGACAAGGCCAUUAUUCUCUCAUCUAUCUGCGGUUCAUUGUCCCCUUCCAAUUUUCUUGCCUUUGAUGUGAAAUUUAAUAAAUUUCUCCACAAGUUAAUAAGGGUAUCUGAGAAAAGGUGGUGUGUGCCAUUGCAUGAGGUAGCUUACAGUUUUGAUCUUUUGCAGCAAAGCCUCUAAGGUAGUAAAAGAGGGUGAGAAAGGCAGAGUUUUGAGACUUGGAAAUGAGUGGCCAAGGUCAGGUGGUGUGCAGUGAGCAAGCAAUUCCAACUAUGAUUACAUGGAGCUAUGAUAGCAAGGAAGUAGCUGCGGAGGAAUUAUGAGAUAAUUGGAAGAUAAGAAAACCCUUGCAGAGAUGAGGAAAUAGUCCACCAUUAUGCAAAUGCUCCCCUCGGGUAUUUAUCAGUACAGAUUUAUUGUUGAUGGGCAAUGAAGGAACAUGAAUGUGAUGGAUGGGGCUCAAGAGAGGAGUCUAGAUUGGCACACAGAAGGGUGCCAACAACCCCUAAACCAGAAGAGAAUUCUCCGCCUCUCAGCGCAAUAGAUCAAAGUGAUUAUCAAACUGUCGAUGCUAAGGCCCUUGCCUUCCCUGGCAACCCUGAGCAGAUUACUGGUUCAAAGAGGGUGCAUCGUAAGGCUGGGGAAUCUAGUAUUGGAGGCCAUGACCAACUUGAAGGAGUCUGAGCAUUGUACAAUUGAAAAAUGGCUUCAACAGAGCCACCAGUCUUUGAAGAGAUCAGAUUCCUCGUUAACAAGAGAAGAAAUUCCUCCUGAUAUUGAGAGUGACGUUAAUGGAGAUGAAGUGGUCAACUCUCUUCUCCCCAUCAAUUUUGUUACAUCUAUGUGAAGCAGAAAGCAUCUUUUAUCUGGAUGAAGUUGCAAGCUAUCCAAGAAGCUUGAAUUUAGCGAAGUCUAUUGCACCAUCUUUCCCAUGUGCAUGCAAUCCACAUGCAUGGCCAUCUCCGUGUACAUGUGACCAGUUCUUGUUCCCAGCCUUGGUAUCCUCAGUACCUGGCAGUCUUCACACAACUUGUCCAAACCCUGACACCCCAGAAGAAGACAUCUCUGAUUCCUCUCUCCCAACCAUUCGAUUCUCCAUUCAGAAUGUUUCCUCCAAAUACAAUUUUGUCAAGGUGAAUGUACGGAUGGGCGACAAUGCUGAUCACUACUAUAGCCUCUCCAGAUUUCUGCUUAGCUGAAUGUUGACUGUCACUAAGAUCCCUUAUCACGUGGCCAUUAAAAUUCUCUUGAACUCGAAAAGCUGCCCAUAGAUGACAGCAUUCUGUAUGUCCUCCAAUUUGAUCUGGAAACUAAUCCAUUUAAAGUGUUGUAUUUGUUGCUGCCUAAUGGAGGACUCAGCUAUGGCAGGAAUGGAUUUGGUAACCUGGGCGAGUUCUAUGGGUUAAGAUGGGGCUCUAAUGGAGCGCAGAUUGCAUCCCAAAGGUGGGAACUGCUGCUAGCGAUGAGGAAUUGCUUAGGAAGACCACUGAGUACAAUAAAAAACUAGAGUUAUGGGAAGAAGAGAUUACCAGGUUAAUUUUGUGAGCUCAAAAGGAAUGAUUCUGCGACUGGGAUUCUGCAAGCUCGGCUUGAGUCAGCAUAGAGAGAGAUUGGGAUGCAGGGGGACAAUCUUGAAUUGGAGUAAACACAAGGGUGAGAGCUGCAAAACCAGACAAUUGAAGCACUCUUCUGCUGCAUGGGAAUAGGGGUGAAGCGACUUACAGACUCCUGGAAAAUGAGCAGCAGCACAGGGAUUCUGAUAUGGAAAUGCACAUGCCUGCCUACCCACGAGCCCCACUCCACCAUUGCCACCUUUGGUGCACCAUUCUUAAGUCAUCCUUCCUUCCUCUUGGUGUGCUUUUCCUAUCUUGGUGAGAAUUUACAGGUUUUUAAAUUGAAUUUUCAAAACUAUUUUCAACUGAAAUAAACCCAAUUUUAAAUGUUCAUCUUUAGACUAUUUUAGGUACUAAAAUCCCGAUUUUUAUAAACAUUGCUGUCAUAUUUCCCCCAGCAAGCACAUUUCACAGUUUUUUUUUAUAUAGUUUUUCUUGAUUUUCUCUAUUUUUAAUGCAUAAAUAAAUUUUAUGAUUCCAAAAAUAAUGGAAUUUAUAGAAUUAAUUCAUGUAAAAAUAAAUUGGGCCUUGGUGGGCCCAACAUCCAUGACACUCCUUCCUCUAAUUGCUUUGCUUGAUUAAUAUUGAUUGAUUUUGUUUGUGACUAGCAUGAGAUAUUUUAUACUUAUAUUAUUUACUAACCUUGUUUUCCAUAGAAGCACACUUCGACUUAUUACUCAGGUACACUCCUUUCCUUCUUUACUCAUUCAAUUAUCUUUUGAUACAUGCUUUGGUUGUAGUAUAUUUUGACUCUUGCUAGGUAUCCAUAGAUUGAUCAACCAAUUGUCAUAGUUGUCUUAGUUUUAUUAGUAGAAACCUGACUUGUAACGCUUAGAAGGGUGCUACGAUUAGCCACUGUACCUUCCUAAUAGGUAACUUGACACCCGAAUCUGACUCAGUUUUUACAAACCUGUCUUUCCUUAUUUUCCCUUUAAAAAAAUAAUAAUAAGUAGCGAUUCCAGUUUCUUAUAAAAUACAGUUUUUCACCUUAAAUAAAUAUGAGUUUGGUCGUCGAGUGAGAAUGCAUGUGAAAAAUGCGGAUCCAACAUUUAUUAGUAUUAUCCUAGAAACUUCUUGAUUCCACACUUUAUAAAUUUAAAUAUUAUUAAUAUUAAAUAAUUAUUGAUUAUUAUUUUAAAUAUAGAAAAAUAUAAUUAUUAUUUUUAUGAAUUUAACUACCAACUAUAAAAUAUCAAAUUAAUAUUUUUCAAAUAUGGAAAGUUCUGAAAGCUAGGAAGGAACUGGUUGUAGUUGAACUGUGAGUCUGUGAUAGGGCCUCUGUAGUCAUAUGGCAAGGGCUUCUUUUUUCAUUGUGGAGCUAACUAGGUCUUUGUCACAGCAUUUAAUUUCAUAUACAUAUCGAUCAGCCAAGGAUGCACAUCAAGCGUUCAUCUGUCCGUUAAUUUACCAGCCCAUUUUCAAUCUUCUGUAUUAGUAUGCUCCUCUCUGCUAAAUGCUAUCAUGGCCAUUUUCUUAAGAAAUAUGCCUUCUCAUCAUCUUUAUUAUCAGAUAGUUGUAACUUCAAAUCGCAAACUUCAUCUGUGUUGAAGUACAGCCUACUUGUUUGUUUGUAACUUGUUUGUUUGUAUGAAAAAAUCAUGAGCAUUACCUCU